rnacentral:rRNA from 1 species
UAUUUAGGGCUUUAUUAUGAAGGGAUUUUUAAAAGUAAUUAUUAGUUUAAGUAAGUUUUUUUGAAAAAAUGGCAUUGUUAUAGAGUAAUAGUACUGUGAGGGGAUAGUUAUAAAUUUUUAUAAGAAUAUUUUAUUUAUGGUACCUUUUGUAUCAGGGUUAAUUAAAAAAUAGGCUUUAGUUAGGGUUGUCUCGAAUUUAUAGGAGCUAAGAGAUUAUAUAUUUUAAUGUAGAAGAAUUAUUUAAAAUAAUCUUUUUGUUAUUAGACGUUAGUCGGUUUUAAAUAUAUCUGGUUUUCAGGGAAAUUGAUUCAAUCAAGUUAUCUUAAUGAAUUUUCUAAUUUAGUAGAGAUUUUUUUGGGUAGGAAAUAUCUAAGGGGAUAAGCUUUUAGGUAGAUUUUUAUAAAUGGUAAUUUUUUAAAGUUGAAUAGGAAUAGAAGUUUUCAUUUUUUGUAGUGUUUUAUAUCAAGAUUUUUUGUGGAGAUGAUUUGCUUUUUUUUAGAUUUUUUUACCUGAAUAUUAGAAUUAAUUUUGUAUUUUAUGAAAUAAUGAUUGAAUUAGUAUAACUUUGAGUUUAAGAAUAUUAGGAUUGAUAUUUUAAGCUAAGUAACUCGGCAAAUAGAUUUUCUGCCUGUUUAUUAAAAACAUGGCCUUUUGGGAAUAAUUUAAGGUCGGGCCUGCCCAAUGAUUGAUUGAAUGGCCGCGGUACUCUGACCGUGCAAAGGUAGCAUAAUCAUUAGUUUUUUAAUUGAAAGCUGGAAUGAACGGUCGGACAAGAAAAUUACUGUCUCAGUUUAAUGGAGUUGGAAUUUUAUUUUUUAGUGAGAAAGCUAGAAUAGGUUUAGGGGACGAGAAGACCCUAUAGAAUUUUAUAGAUUUCUUUGGAUUAGGUUUUUAGAGGAUUUGUCUGAGUUUAUGGGAAAUUUAAUUUGUUGGGGUGAUAGGAAAAUUGGAAGAACUUUUCUUUAAUUAAUUCACUGAUUUGUGUGUAGAUGAUCCGUGUAUUGCGAUUAUAAGAGUAAAUUACCUUAGGGAUAACAGCGUAAUUAAUUUGGAGAGUUCUUAUUGAUAAAUUAGUUUGCGACCUCGAUGUUGGAUUAAAAUGAACUUUUGGUGUAGGGGCUUGAAAGGUUGAGUCUGUUCGACUCUUAAAAUUUUACAUGAUCUGAGUUUAAACCGGUGUGAGCCAGGUUGGUUUCUAUCUCUAGAAAAUUUAGGUGCUUUAGUACGAAAGGACCAAUCACUUAUUUAAUAAGUUAUAAGGGAAUAAUAUU